rnacentral:rRNA from 1 species
CCUACGGGUGGCAGCAGUAGGGAAUUUUCCACAAUGGGCGAAAGCCUGAUGGAGCAACGCCGCGUGCAGGAUGAAGGUCUUCGGAUUGUAAACUGCUUUUAUCUGUGACGAUAAUGACGGUAGCAGAUGAAUAAGGAUCGGCUAACUCCGUGCCAGCAGCCGCGGUCAUACGGAGGAUCCAAGCGUUAUCCGGAAUUACUGGGCGUAAAGAGUUGCGUAGGUGGCAUUGUAAGUCAGUAGUGAAAGCGUUCGGCUCAACCGGAUACACAUUACUG